AUUGAACGCUGGCGGCAGGCUUAACACAUGCAAGUCGAGCGGAUGAAGGGAGCUUGCUCCUGGAUUCAGCGGCGGACGGGUGAGUAAUGCCUAGGAAUCUGCCUGGUAGUGGGGGAUAACGUCCGGAAACGGGCGCUAAUACCGCAUACGUCCUGAGGGUGAAAGUGGGGGAUCUUCGGACCUCACGCUAUCAGAUGAGCCUAGGUCGGAUUAGCUAGUUGGUGGGGUAAAGGCCUACCAAGCCGACGAUCCGUAACUGGUCUGAGAGGAUGAUCAGUCACACUGGAACUGAGACACGGUCCAGACUCCUACGGGAGGCAGCAGUGGGGAAUAUUGGACAAUGGGCGAAAGCCUGAUCCAGCCAUGCCGCGUGUGUGAAGAAGGUCUUCGGAUUGUAAAGCACUUUAAGUUGGGAGGAAGGGCAGUAAGUUAAUACCUUGCUGUUUUGACGUUACCGACAGAAUAAGCACCGGCUAACUUCGUG
rnacentral:rRNA from 1 species